GACUAGGGCCUUGCGCUUUUGACAACACUGUAUAAGUGCUCAUAGGAAUUACCAGGAUUCUAAUGCCAUUGGGAUAACAAGAACAGAGGCUAACAAAUAUUCUCCUUUGGUUUAAAAUGGAUUUAAGAAUGAGCCACCAAAAUCUGGCCUGCUAACUUGAGCCAACAUAGUUUUCUUUGGUUCAAAUUUGAGUUUAGGUUGAAUGCCAUGAUUAGAUUGGUGAUAUGCAUAUAUUUG
rnacentral:misc_RNA from 1 species